rnacentral:rRNA from 1 species
AAUUUGAAAUCUGGCUUCUUCGGGGCCCGAGUUGUAAUUUGUAGAGAGUGCUUCGGGUGAGACCGUGGUCUAAGUCCAUUGGAACAUGGCGUCCCAGAGGGUGAGAAUCCCGUAUGCGACCGUGGCGCGAACCCAUGUGAAGCCUCUUCGACGAGUCGAGUUGUUUGGGAAUGCAGCUCUAAAUGGGUGGUAAAUUUCAUCUAAAGCUAAAUAUUGGCUGGAGACCGAUAGCGCACAAGUAGAGUGAUCGAAAGAUGAAAAGCACUUUGGAAAGAGAGUUAAACAGUACGUGAAAUUGUUGAAAGGGAAGCGCUUGCAACCAGACCUGCCCGUAGGCGAUCACCCGCUGUUCUCAGCGGUGCACUCGUUCUGCGAUCGGGCCAGCAUCGGUUUCGGCGGCCGGAUAAAGGCCUUGGGAAUGUAGCUUCCCUUCGGGGGAGUCUUAUAGCCCUCGGUGCAAUGCGGCCAGCCGGGACCGAGGACCGCGCUUCGGCUAGGAUGCUGGCGUAAUGGUUGUAAGCGACCC